UACGUAGGUCCCGAGCGUUGUCCGGAUUUAUUGGGCGUAAAGCGAGCGCAGGCGGUUUAAUAAGUCUGAUGUAAAAGGCAGUGGCUCAACCAUUGUGUGCAUUGGAAACUGUUAGACUUGAGUGCAGUAGAGGAGAGUGGAAUUCCAUGUGUAGCGGUGAAAUGCGUAGAUAUAUGGAGGAACACCGGUGGCGAAAGCGGCUCUCUGGACUGUCACUGACACUGAGGCUCGAAAGCGUGGGUAGCAAACAGG
rnacentral:rRNA from 1 species